rnacentral:rRNA from 1 species
UGGGGAAUAUUGGACAAUGGGGGGAACCCUGAUCCAGCAAUGCCGCGUGUGUGAAGAAGGCCUGAGGGUUGUAAAGCACUUUCAGUGGGGAGGAGGGUUGUCAGGUUAAGAGCUAGAUAACUGGACGUUACCCACAGAAGAAGCACCGGCUAACUCCGUGCCAGCAGCCGCGGUAAUACGGAGGGUGCAAGCGUUAAUCGGAAUUACUGGGCGUAAAGGGUGCGUAGGUGGUUUAAUAAGUUAGUUGUGAAAUUCCUGGGCUUAACCUAAGGUGGUCAACUAAGACUGUUAGACUUGAGUAUAGGAGAGGGUAGUGGAAUUUCCGGUGUAGCGGUGAAAUGCGUAGAGAUCGGAAGGAACACCAGUGGCGAAGGCGGCUACCUGGCCUAAUACUGACACUGAGGCACGAAAGCGUGGGGAGCAAACAG